rnacentral:rRNA from 1 species
GACGAACGCUGGCGGCGUGCUUAACACAUGCAAGUCGAACGGAAAGGCCCUGCUUUUGUGGGGUGCUCGAGUGGCGAACGGGUGAGUAACACGUGAGUAACCUGCCCUUGACUUGGGGAUAACUUCAGGAAACUGGGGCUAAUACCGGAUAGGAGCUCCUGCUGCAUGGGGGGGGUUGGAAAGUUUCGGCGGUUGGGGAUGGACUCGCGGCUUAUCAGCUUGUUGGUGGGGUAGUGGCUUACCAAGGCUUUGACGGGUAGCCGGCCUGAGAGGGUGACCGGCCACAUUGGGACUGAGAUACGGCCCAGACGCCUACGGGAGGCAGCAGUGGGGAAUAUUGCACAAUGGGCGGAAGCCUGAUGCAGCAACGCCGCGUGCGGGAUGACGGCCUUCGGGUUGUAAACCGCUUUCGCCUGUGACGAAGCGUGAGUGACGGUAAUGGGUAAAGAAGCACCGGCUAACUACGUG